GACGAACGCUGGCGGCGUGCUUAACACAUGCAAGUCGAACGGAAAGGCCCUGCUUUUGUGGGGUACUCGAGUGGCGAACGGGUGAGUAACACGUGAGUAACCUGCCCUUGACUUUGGGAUAACUUCAGGAAACUGGGGCUAAUACCGGAUAGGAGCUCCUGCUGCAUGGUGGGGGUUGGAAAGUUUCGGCGGUUGGGGAUGGACUCGCGGCUUAUCAGCUUGUUGGUGGGGUAGUGGCUUACCAAGGCUUUGACGGGUAGCCGGCCUGAGAGGGUGACCGGCCACAUUGGGACUGAGAUACGGCCCAGACUCCUACGGGAGGCAGCAGUGGGGAAUAUUGCACAAUGGGUGGAAGCCUGAUGCAGCAACGCCGUGUGCGGGAUGACGGCCUUCGGGUUGUAAACCGCUUUCGCUCAUGACGAAGCUUUGUGUGACGGUAGUGGGUAAAGAAGCACCGGCUAACUACGU
rnacentral:rRNA from 1 species